GUGUCGUGAGAUGUUCGGUUAAGUCCGGCAACGAGCGCAACCCACAUCCUUAGUUGCCAGCAGUUCGGCUGGGGCACUCUAGGGGAAACUGCCCGUGAUAAGCGGGAGGAAGGUGGGGAUGACGUCAAGUCCUCAUGGCCCUUACGGGUUGGGCUACACACGUGCUACAAUGGUGGUGACAGUGGGUUAAUCCCCAAAAACCAUCUCAGUUCGGAUUGUCGUCUGCAACUCGACGGCAUGAAGUCGGAAUCGCUAGUAAUCGCGUAACAGCAUGACGCGGUGAAUACGUUCCCGGGCCUU
rnacentral:rRNA from 1 species